rnacentral:RNase_P_RNA from 1 species
UGGGAGAGUUAGGCGGUCGCGUCGGUUUGCAAGAACCGAUGAGGAACGUCCGGCCACCAGUGGAGAAAGUGCCCGGUAACACCGGGGCAGGGUAACCUGACGGAAAGGGCAACAGAAAAGAAACCGCCAUUGUUCGAGCUAGUAAACCAUUGGUUUGCUAUGUCGAUUUGGUAAGGGUGAAACGGUGAGGUAAGAGCUCACCGCCCGUCCAGUAAUGGUACGGGGCAGUGCAACCCCCACUUGGUGCAACAUCAAGCAGGUAUGUCGCCUCUCUGAGGCGAAUGGCUCCACCAUUUCCUAUCGGAAUCAUACCGGGUAGAUGGCUUGAGACGGUUGGCAACAACCGCCCUAGAGGAAUGAUCGCCCACGACAGAAGCCGGCGUAUCGAUUCUCCCUGAAU